rnacentral:rRNA from 1 species
AUUGAACGCUGGCGGCAGGCCUAACACAUGCAAGUCGAGCGAGCGGCGGACGGGUGAGUAAUGUCUGGGAAACUCUCUGAUGGGGGGGGGUAACACUUGGAAACGGUAGCUAAUACCGCAUACCAUCAGAUGUGCCCCCAUGGGAUUAGCUAGUAGGUGGGGUAACGGCUCACCAAGGCGCCGAUCCCUAGCUGGUCUGAGAGGAUGACACGCCACACUGGAACUGAGACACGGUCCAGACUCCUACGGGAGGCAGCAGUGGGGAAUAUUGCACAAUGGGGGCAAGCCUGAUGCAGCCAUGCCGCGUGAGUGAAGAAGGCCUUCGGGUUGUAAAGCACUUUCAGCGGGGAGGCGUUACCCGCAGAAGAAGCACCGGCUAACUCCGUGCCAGCAGCCGCGGUAAUUC